CGGAGGGUGCAAGCGUUAUCCGGAUUUACUGGGUUUAAAGGGUGUGUAGGCGGGUCUUUAAGUCAGUGGUGAAAUCUCCGAGCUCAACUUGGAAACUGCCAUUGAUACUAUUGAUCUUGAAUUUUGUUGAGGUAGGCGGAAUAAGUCAUGUAGCGGUGAAAUGCAUAGAUAUGACUUAGAACACCAAUUGCGAAGGCAGCUUACUAAGCAAACAUUGACGCUGAGGCACGAAAGCGUGGGGAUCAAACAGGAUUAGAUACCCUGGUAGUCCACGCCCUAAACGAUGAUUACUCGACAUACGCGAUACACAGUGUGUGUCUGAGCGAAAGCAUUAAGUAAUCCACCUGGGAAGUACGACCGCAAGGUUG
rnacentral:rRNA from 1 species